rnacentral:tRNA from 1 species
GGGCGGUUAGCUCAGAUGGCUAGAGCAUCCGGUUUACACCCGGAAGGUCGCAGGUUCGAAUCCUGCAUCGCCCA